UUGGUGAUGGACAGGGAGGCCUGGUGUGCUGUGAUUCAUGGGGUCGCAAAGAGUUGGACUCAACUGAGCGACUGAACUGAACUGAACUGAUCUUUCUAUUUUCAAACUUUCCACCAGAGGGCGUGCCAAACACUGUCCUGCAGCUUGAAAAAACUGCUGUCCUGUCUUGCUCCCAAAUUCUCGAUUUAUAAACAUGCUCUAAAAAUCCUCAGCACUGAUAUCUGAGAAAUGUGAUGUAGUGACUUUCCAUUCAUUUCCCCUCCCCCACUGAGAGGUCCUAUACUUAAAAUAAAAGCGCUCAACUGGAGACUGUUCAUUUAAUUUAAGUCAGAUGUGCAAUCUCACAGCCCUGAGGCCGCCUUUGAAAAUCAGCUGCAAAGGGAAGAGCUGGGGAGCAACCUUUUCUUGUACAAGCAGCAAGGGAUGCUCUGUUUGUGGAGACUUCAACACAAUAAUACAGACUAAAAGUCACUUCAUUUUUUUUAGAUCACCCUGUGCCAGUAAUUCCAAAUAAUGUCAGUGAUAAAAUCCUCCUCCUUCCACACACACACACACAAAUCUCUCAUUGUUUCAAGUUCUAAACAACUUCUGGCAGUUUAUCCAGAGAACUCCCUGCUGUGCCGAAGUUCCUGCUCAGUGGGUUCAGCUUCAUGCAUUUUCAGUCCAGGGCCUAUUUGGGAAGAAUUCAGAGCAACUGACAAACAGCAAUUUAGGCCUGGAGCUGGAAGGAUCGGUCGGAGGGAAGACGAGUUGAAAGUCCCACGUGACUUCAGUUUUGGGGUGAGGAAACUGAAGCCCAGCGUCUGACCCUCACCAGCUAAUGCUGUGAAAUGACCAGUCCCCACCUGCCCCUGGGCGGCAGACAGCCUAAGGGUAUGUUUCCAGGAACCGUGUAGAAAUGAGCUCCUUAUCCCCUCAUUUUUUGUUUUUAUAAACUAUUUUAAAUUGUAAAAUGCAUAUAACAUAGAGUUUGCCAAAUGAACUGUUUUCAAGUGUACAAUGUUGUGGCGUUAAGUGCAUUCACGUGGUUGUACAUCCAUCAUCACCAUCCAUCUCCAGAACUCUGAGCGUGCAAAACUGAAGCCCUGUACCCAUGUAACUCCCCAUCCUUUCCUCCCCUCUGCCCCCAAAUCUUAUAGGGUGGAUACUGUCAUUCCCCAGGUCUCAACUUCAUAGAGAAGAAAACCGAGCUCCCCAGCCAUUCUGACCAGUGGCAGGUGGUACCCUAUUGUAGUUUUGAUUUGCAUUUCUCUAGUGAUUAUCGGCCAUGAGCAUCUCUUCAUGUGCCUGUUGGCCAUCUGUAUGUCGUCUUUGAAGAAAUGUCUAUUUAGAUCUUAUGCCCAUUUUUUGAUUGGGCUGUUUGUCUUUUGUUAUCGAGUUGUAUGAACUAUUGGUAUAUUUUAGAAAUUAAGCCCUGUUGGCCACAUCAUUUGCAAAUAUUGAUAGUUCCUCUGAAUCCAUAAAUUAUCUUUUUGUUUUGUUUAUAAUCUCACCUAGUAACCAUUUGGGGAAAAACCAAAGAUAGUGGGCAUUCCAAAAAAAAAAAAAGGUUCUCAACUGCAAUUAAAACUAAACUAAAAAGUAGAGGAAUGGAGUUUCUAGGGCACUGAAACUAUUCUGUAUAAUACAAUAAUGAUGGACAUAUGCCCAAUAAAGGACAGAAAUGGUAGGGACCUAACAGAAGCAGAAGAUAUUAAGAAGAGGUGGCAAGAAUACACAGAAGAACUAUACA